rnacentral:rRNA from 1 species
GACAGAGGGUGCAAACGUUGUUCGGAAUUACUGGGCGUAAAGCGCGUGUAGGCUGCCCUGCAAGUCGGAUGUGAAAGCCCUGGGCUCAACCUAGGAAGUGCAUUCGAAACUGCGGGGCUGGAGUCCUGGAGAGGAAGGCGGAAUUCUCGGUGUAGAGGUGAAAUUCGUAGAUAUCGAGAGGAACACCGGUGGCGAAGGCGGCCUUCUGGACAGUGACUGACGCUGAGACGCGAAAGCGUGGGGAGCAAACGGG